GAGAGAGGAGAGAGAAGAGAGAAGAGAAGAGAUUCUCUUUUCACAAGUUUUCUUCCCAUAUUCUUCAUUCUUCUUCUCUUCUUCCUUUCUCUUUUUGGGAAUUCUCCUUCUUCUCAUAAACAACCGA
rnacentral:ribozyme from 13 species